rnacentral:rRNA from 1 species
GAUGAACGCUAGCGAUAGGCCUAACACAUGCAAGUCGAGGGGCAGCAUAAGGAAGUAGCAAUACUUUCUGGUGGCGACCGGCGCACGGGUGAGUAACACGUAUGCAACCUGCCUUCAACAAGGGCAUAACCCGUUGAAAGACGGACUAAUACCCUAUAAUACAGGGGCCCCGCAUGGGGAUAUUUGUUAAAGAUUUAUCGGUUGAAGAUGGGCAUGCGUUCCAUUAGCUGGUUGGUGGGGUAACGGCCCACCAAGGCAACGAUGGAUAGGGGAACUGAGAGGUUUAUCCCCCACACUGGUACUGAGACACGGACCAGACUCCUACGGGAGGCAGCAGUGAGGAAUAUUGGUCAAUGGACGCAAGGUCUGAACCAGCCACGUCGCGUGAAGGAAGACGGCCCUACGGGUUGUAAACUUCUUUUGUAAGGGAAUAAAGUGUAGUACGCGUACUAUUUUGCAUGUACCUUACGAAUAAGGAUCGGCUAACUCCGUGCCAGCAGCCGCGGUAAAU